rnacentral:rRNA from 1 species
UGAAGCUGGAUUCGCUAGUAAUCGCGCAUCAGCCACGGCGCGGUGAAUACGUUCCCGGGCCUUGUACACACCGCCCGUCAAGCCAUGGAAGCCGGGAGUGCCUGAAGUGCGUGAGCGCAAGCAGCGCCCUAAGGUAAAACCGGUGACUGGGGCUAAGUCGUAACAAGGUAAC